UAUAUAUAUAUAUACAUAUAUAUAUAUACAUAUAUAUAUAUAUAUACACAUAUAUAUAUAUAUACACAUAGUUGAAGUCAGAAGUUUACAUUCAUCUUAGCCAAAUACAUUUAAACUCAUGAUUUUAUCCCUGUAAAAAUUCCCUGUUUUAGGUCAGAGGAUCACCACUUUAUUUUAUGAAUGUGAAAUGUCAGAAUAAUAGUAGAGAGAAUGAUUUAUUUCAGAUUUGAUUUCUUUCAUCACAUUCCCAGUGGGUCAGAAGUUUACAAACACUCAAUUAGUAUGCCCUGGCAUUCAUUCAUCAAUUCACGUGUGCCUUUAUUUAUCUAUUUAUAUGUGCAUGCUUUUAUUUCAAAUGAUGACAGGUUUGGUCUAUACAUCUAUACUGGCACCGACUACACUUGUUCAGCUGCAUCACCAUUGACAGAAACAAAUAAAAAACAUUUGGACCAAAUAUCCCAAUAGUGGUCGGUAGACCAUAGUCCUAUGUAUUAGAGUGCAUCGAUACAGCACCGACCAGUCACAGUCGGAUGUAAUUGAAAUACAAUACUUUUGUAUUAGAGAGUGCAUCAAUGCAGCAGUCAUCAGUCACCAUUUCAGGAGCUGUUAUUGAGGAUGUGGUUCUGAUAAUCUCCUCAUGCAGUGUCAGCAGAUUCUGAGUCAUCUCCAAGGACAGGUCAGGGGAGUGGAUUCCGCUGAAAUCUCUGAUAAGUUUCAAAGAGCUGGGAUCCGACUUGACCAAGAGGCUCUACAGGAGGUUGUCCAAUUUCUCUUCUUAACGUUCAGGUAUUGUAGCUGUUUGUGAUCCGCAACCACUCAUCGGCAAGUUGCAAAAAAAUAUAUAUAUAUCCAGCGUUCAGCACAUGGAUUUUGUUUGCUCCCCUUUGGGAUAGGUCAGGAACCAGUGGUGGGGUAGUGGCUUCAGGGCCAUGGCUAUGAUUUGUUACUAAAGUAAUUGGUUUUAUGUAUUUGGAGAGUCAUAAGGAUAUUCCAUGGUGGGUGAGUUGUGGGUUUAAAUGCAUUUGGAAAGUAUAGAGACCCCUUGACUUUUACACAUUUUUGUUACGUUACAGCUAUAUUUUAAAAUUGAUGAGGUAAUGUAAUUUUUAUCUGUCGACACACAAUUUCCCAUAAUGACAAAGGGGGAACAGAUUUUUAUCAUUCUUUUGCAAAUGUAUUUAAAAAAUAAUAAAAUAAACAUUUACAUUAGUUUUCA
ensembl:lncRNA